rnacentral:rRNA from 1 species
UACGUAGGGUGCAAGCGUUAAUCGGAAUUACUGGGCGUAAAGCGUGCGCAGGCGGUUCUAUAAGACAGGUGUGAAAUCCCCGGGCUCAACCUGGGAACUGCAUUUGUGACUGCAUGGCUAGAGUACGGUAGAGGGGGAUGGAAUUCCGCGUGUAGCAGUGAAAUGCGUAGAUAUGCGGAGGAACACCGAUGGCGAAGGCAAUCCCCUGGACCUGUACUGACGCUCAUGCACGAAAGCGUGGGGAGCAAACAGG